rnacentral:misc_RNA from 1 species
UCCGUAGGUGAACCUGCGGAAGGAUCAUUACAGAAAGUAAACGCGGAUCAAACCGCGAACUUCUAAACCUUUGACGAUCGACUCAUGUUGCCUCGGCGGGUGCUCCCGCCAGAGGAUACAUCAAAACUCAUGUUUUAACGGUGUUGUCUGAGCUACAAGCAACGAAUCAAAACUUUCAACAACGGAUCUCUUGGUUCUGGCAUCGAUGAAGAACGCAGCGAAAUGCGAUAAGUAGUGUGAAUUGCAGAAUUCAGUGAAUCAUCGAAUCUUUGAACGCACAUUGCGCCCCUUGGUAUCCCGAGGGGCAUGCCUGUUCGAGCGUCAUUUCACCACUCAAGCCUGGCUUGGUGUUGGGCGACGUCCCCUUUGGGGACGCGCCUCGAAACGCUCGGCGGCGUGGCACCGGCUUUAAGCGUAGCAGAAUCUUUCGCUUUGAAAGUCGGGGCCCCGUCUGCCGGAAGACCUACUCGCAAGGUUGACCUCGGAUCAGGCAGGGAUACCCGCUGAACUU